AAAGUCGUAACAAGGUUUCCGUAGGUGAACCUGCGGAAGGAUCAUUAAAGAGUAAGGGUUAUUCGUAGCCCGACCUCCAACCCUUUGUUGUUAUAACUACCUCGUUGCUUUGGCGGGACCGCUCGGUCUCGAGCUGCUGGUCUUCGGCCCGGCAAGUGCCCGCCAGAGUCUACUCAAACUCUUGUUUUAACCGGUCGUCUGAGUUAAACUUUUAAUUAAAUUAAAACUUUCAACAACGGAUCUCUUGGUUCUC
rnacentral:misc_RNA from 1 species